rnacentral:rRNA from 1 species
UAUCAAUAAGCGGAGGAAAAGAAACCAACAGGGAUUGCCCUAGUAACGGCGAGUGAAGCGGCAACAGCUCAAAUUUGAAAUCUGGCGCAAGCCCGAGUUGUAAUUUGUAGAGGAUGCUUCAGGGCAGCGGCCGGUCUAAGUUCCUUGGAACAGGACGUCAUAGAGGGUGAGAAUCCCGUAUGCGACCGGUUGGCACCCGUCACGUAGCUCCUUCGACGAGUCGAGUUGUUUGGGAAUGCAGCUCUAAAUGGGAGGUAAAUUUCUUCUAAAGCUAAAUACCGGCCAGAGACCGAUAGCGCACAAGUAGAGUGAUCGAAAGAUGAAAAGCACUUUGGAAAGAGAGUUAAAAAGCACGUGAAAUUGUUGAAAGGGAAGCGCAUGCAACCAGACUUGUCGGCGGUGUUCCGCCGGUCUUCUGACCGGUCUACUCGCCGCCGGCAGGCCAGCAUCAUCUGGGCGCGCCGGACAAAGGCGCGGGGAAUGUGGCUCCUCGGAGUGUUAUAGCCCCGCGCACAAUACGGCGCCGCUCGGGUGAGGUCCGCGCUUCGGCUAGGAUGCUGGCGUAAUGGUUGUCUGCGGCCCGUCUUGAAACACGGACCAAGGAGUCUAACAUCUAUGCGAGUGUUCGGGUGUCAAACCCCUACGCGGAAUGAAAGUGAACGGAGGUGGGAAGCGCAAGCUGCACCAUCGACCGAUCCUGAUGUCUUCGGAUGGAUUUGAGUAAGAGCAUAGCUGUUGGGACCCGAAAGAUGGUGAACUAUGCCUGAAUAGGGUGAAGCCAGAGGAAACUCUGGUGGAGGCUCGCAGCGGUUCUGACGUGCAAAUCGAUCGUCAAAUUUGGGUAUAGGGGCGAAAGACUAAUCGAACCAUCUAGUAGCUG